GCAGGUAUAGUUUAACAAAAAUGUUGGAUUGUGAUUCCAAGGAUAGGAGUUCAAAUCUCCUUACCCGCC
rnacentral:tRNA from 1 species